GACGUAGGAUGCGAGCGUUGUCCGGAUUUAUUGGGCGUAAAGAGUUCGUAGGUGGUUCACUAAGUUUGGUGUAAAAGACGGGGGCUUAACCCUCGGAUCGCACUGAAUACUGGUGGACUGGAGUGGAGUAGAGGCAAGCGGAAUUCCCAGUGUAGCGGUGAAAUGCGUAGAUAUUGGGAAGAACACCGGUGGCGUAAGCGGCUUGCUGGGCUUUAACUGACACUGAGGAACGAAAGCUAGGGGAGCGAAUGGG
rnacentral:rRNA from 1 species